rnacentral:rRNA from 1 species
UAGCGGUGAAAUGCGUAGAUAUCAAGAGGAACGCCAGUGGUGAAAACGGUGCACUGGGCUUGACCUGACGCUGAGACACGAAAGCGUGGGGAGCGAACGGGAUUAGAUACCCCGGUAGUCCACGCUGUAAACGAUGUCUACUAGGUUGUGGUAGUUCUGACACUUUCACGGCCGAAGCAAAAGUGGUAAGUAGACCGCCUGGGGAGUACGGUCGCAAGGCUAAAACUCAAAGGAAUUGACGGGGGCUCACACAAGCGGUGGAGCAUGUGGAUCAAUUCGAAGCAACGCGCAGAACCUUACCUGGGUUUGACAUGCAAGGAUGUCUUCUGCGAAAGUGGUAAGAUUGCCCUACGGGGUGAAACUUGUACAGGUGCUGCAUGGCUGUCGUCAGCUCGUGUCGUGAGACGUCGGGUUAAGUCCCUUAACGAGCAAAACCCUUGCCGUUAGUUACCAGCGGGUAAAGCCGGGGACUCUAACGGGACUGCCGGUGGUAAACCGGAGGAAGGUGGGGAUGACGUCAAGUCAUCAUGGCCUUUAUGCCCAGGGCGUCACACGUGCUACAAUGGCAACUACAAAGCGACGCGAGACCGCGAGGUGGAGCAAAUCGCAAAAAAGUUGUCUCAGUCCGGAUUGCAGGCUGGCAAUUCGCCUGCAUGAAGUCGGAAUCGCGUAGUAAUCGCGUAUCAGCCAUGACGCGGUG